rnacentral:rRNA from 1 species
GACGAACGCUGGCGGCGUGCUUAACACAUGCAAGUCGAACGGUAAGGCCCUUCGGGGUACACGAGUGGCGAACGGGUGAGUAACACGUGGGUGAUCUACCCUGCACUUCGGGAUAAGCCUGGGAAACUGGGUCUAAUACCGGAUAGGAUCACUGCCUGCAUGGGUGGUGGUGGAAAGCUUUUGCGGUGUGGGAUGGGCCCGCGGCCUAUCAGCUUGUUGGUGGGGUGAUGGCCUACCAAGGCGACGACGGGUAGCCGGCCUGAGAGGGUGACCGGCCACACUGGGACUGAGAUACGGCCCAGACUCCUACGGGAGGCAGCAGUGGGGAAUACUGCACAAUGGGCGCAAGCCUGAUGCAGCGACGCCGCGUGAGGGAUGACGGCCUUCGGGUUGUAAACCUCUUUCAGCACCGACGAAGCGCAAGUGACGGUAGGUGCAGAAGAAGGACCGGCCAACUACGUGCCAGCCGCCGCAGUAA